UUUGUACAUUGAAGGACGGCUCCAUGUUGCCAUGACGAAUGGAGGGCAGCAGCAGGUAUAGCAGUAAGGUGGCCAAUAACACCAUGCCCAGGACCACCAUACGAUUCCGCAGGAAAUUCAUUUCUGCGAAAUGAACGACUUGGAAAAGAGAAGGCACUGCAGGACAAUCACUGACGAAAAGACGAUGUUGUCUUCUUUAUCGUCAUGUCUCCUGAUUCAAACUGUUCUGGUUAAUUAAUAUAAGCUGUUUUAAGAGGCUUGCCGUUGGUUGGCUUAGUAUUAAAUGCAAGACACCGAAAAGAAAUUUAAUGCAGCUAACCGACACUCGAUUUGUACUACG